GUCUUUUUGAGUUAUUUUGAAAGUCUGACCUGNCCACUGAAUUUUUAAAUGGCCGCAGUAUUCUAACUGUGCAAAGGUAGCAUAAUCAUUAGUCUUUUAAUUGGAGGCUGGUAUGAACGGUUGGACGAGGUAUUAACUGUUUCAUAUAUAUUUAUAUUAGAAUUUUAUUUUUUAGUUAAAAAGCUAAAAUAGUAUUAAAAGACGAGAAGACCCUAUAAAUCUUUAUAUUUUGUAUAUUUUAAAUGGUUUAGAUUUAUUUUAUUUUUAUUAUAAAAGAUAUUUUGUUGGGGUGAUGUUAAAAUUUAAUGAACUUUUAAUUAUUAAUGGUCAUUAAUUUAUGUAUUAUUGAUCCACUAAUAGUGAUUAUAAGAUUAAGUUACUUUAGGGAUAACAGCGUAAUUUUUUUGGAGAGUUCAUAUCGAUAGAAAAGUUUGCGACCUCGAUGUUGGAUUAAGAUAUAAUUUUAGGUGUAGCCGCUUAAAUUUUAAGUCUGUUCGACUUUUAAAUUCUU
rnacentral:rRNA from 1 species